CCUACGGGAGGCAGCAGUGAGGAAUAUUGGUCAAUGGCCGGAAGGCUGAACCAGCCAUGCCGCGUGAAGGUCAGUGCCCUAUGGGCGUUAAACUUCUUUUGUGCGGGAGCAAUAAUGGUCACGUGUGGCCAGACGAGAGUACCGUACGAAUAAGCAUCGGCUAACUCCGUGCCAGCAGCCGCGGUAAUACGGGGGAUGCAAGCGUUAUCCGGAUUUAUUGGGUUUAAAGGGUGCGUAGGCUGUGAGGUAAGGCAGCGGUGAAAUGCCCCCGCUCAACGGGGUGAAGUGCCAUUGAUACUGCCUGGCUGGAAUGCGGAUGCGGUAGGAGGAAUGUGUGGUGUAGCGGUGAAAUGCAUAGAUAUCACACAGAACACCGAUUGCGAAGGCAUCUCACGAAUCCGCGAUUGACGCUGAUGCACGAAAGCGUGGGUAUCAAACAGGAUUAGAUACCCUAGUAGUC
rnacentral:rRNA from 1 species